rnacentral:lncRNA from 1 species
CUAGAUCUCCCAUGGAGUCUGGGACAAGUAGCUUCCUCCAGUUGUCUUCUCCUACAGCUGCCUCCCCAAACUCUCAGCAUCCAUUGUUUAUAUCAUCUUUAAAAAGCAUUUUGAAAUGAAGACUUCUGAGGCCAAGAAUAUGGACUUCCCGGAGGCCACUUGCGUGCAUCACUUCCAAGAAGGCUAUUCAGUAAUUCACCGGAUGGCCCAGCUGAGUGAAGGUCAAAGUGAGCAAAGGCAGCACUUUUUAGGAAUUGAACGGGGAUCAGAAAGUUUGCCCUGAUUACGUCCUGAGUCUGGUCUUCCCUCACAAGGUCCGUCGUGGUUUUCUAUCUAGCUGCCCAGCCUCAUUAGCCUCAAGUCUCUUCCUCUUCCUCUCUGAGAUCAAGCUUCGCUCUUUCCACUCUUGGCAUCUGGUUGUGCACCACUGUGGGCAGGGUGAGAGGGCGGAGGGGGAUGAAACCCAAGGCUAAGGCCGCCCCCAGCAGGGGCCACUGGAGCGGAACUUGGCUGCGCACAGAAGAACCCAAAUCAACUUAUUUUGUUUUCCUCUGUUUUUAAGCUCGUCUCCAAACUUCCUGGUUUUGUCCUAAAAUGAGAGCCAGACAGCUUGUGAGCGAAUCCUGACAUCCCUAUGAUCUGAGGCAGCCUAGCCCAGGGGAAAGCGUAUGCAUUUUUUUUUCCUUUUUCCGAAAGAUCCUCCUGGUGGCCACACACAUCAGCAGUUCCUUGCGCACGUGGUUCUUCUUUCUGGUUUCUCCUGACGGUUUCAGAGUCUUCAAGAAGGACCGUGGGCCAGUCUGGCAGGGCCUCACGGAAUCAGACCAUCAGACGUGCCCGCUGAUCUUCAGAGCUCUGCUGUUGAAGCCCGGUGACUCAUUCCUCACUCAAGGUAUUUUGGGUUUGUUACUUCUCAGCCGCUUCACCAAGAACCACAUGGAGCCAAAACAGAGAAGGGAGGAAAUGGGGGUGCAGAUGGGAGGGGUGGGGCAGGAAUCCAAAGUGGCUGUGGAAAAAUUCGGCUGAGGUGCCGUGGUUGAAGCUUGGCCCCGGGGGAGCGAGGCUCUUCCAAAAGCAACAACAGGAAGGAAAGCGUGCUUUGAUUACAACUUCA